rnacentral:tRNA from 1 species
AUAGCUCAGUCGGUUAGAGCACCUGCCUCUUAAGCAGGGUGUCGUGGGUUCGAGUCCCACU